UACGAGGGGGGCAAGCGUUGUUCGGAAUUAUUGGGCGUAAAGGGCGCGUAGGCGGUGCGGUAAGUCACCUGUGAAACCUCUAGGCUCAACCUAGAGCCUGCAGGCGAAACUGCCGUGCUUGAGGGUGGGAGAGGUGCGUGGAAUUCCCGGUGUAGCGGUGAAAUGCGUAGAUAUCAGGAGGAACACCUGUGGCGAAAGCGGCGCACUGGACCACAACUGACGCUGAGGCGCGAAAGCUAGGGGAGCAAACAGG
rnacentral:rRNA from 1 species